rnacentral:lncRNA from 10 species
GUGACUAAAUGAAGGAAGGCUGAGGGGUUAAAAUCAUUGCUGGGUGAUUUCACCACUACUGCCCCAUAUUCAUACUCUCGGUAAAUGAAUGAGGAGAGCCCCAUGUGGGAUUACAAACUUGCUGGAAAUGGAUGAGAAACCUUCUGCUCUGCUGGAGUUUAUCUUGAGUGUGCCUUAAAAUUCCAUUUCAUGGAGAACUGUGCGUGGUUGAAUUUUGAUUGAUUACUCAAUUAACUGAUGUAUUGGUAGAGUGAUUAAGAAAGAAGACUUUGGGAUCAGACCAACCUGGUUUUGAAUUCAAGCUCAGCAACUUACUAGGUAAGGAGGAGAAAAGAAAGAAGGAAAAAUUGGAAAGAUAAAUGGGGUCUUUCCAGUGAAGCCUCCAGGCCUCCAGACUGGAACUUAUACCACUGAUUCUUCUGAAUCUUAGGCCUUUGGACUUGGA